rnacentral:pre_miRNA from 1 species
CCGUAACUGUACCUGCAGUUGGGCCAAUGACAUGUGGGCCUAACAGACGGCUGGCCCACAUGCCAUUGAUCCAACUGUAGGUGCAGUUACGGC